AACGAACGCUGGCGGCAUGCCUAACACAUGCAAGUCGAACGAGACCUUCGGGUCUAGUGGCGCACGGGUGCGUAACGCGUGGGAACCUGCCCUUAGGUUCGGAAUAACUCCCCGAAAGGGGUGCUAAUACCGGAUAAUGUCUUCGGACCAAAGAUUUAUCGCCUUUGGAUGGGCCCGCGUUGGAUUAGCUAGUUGGUGGGGUAAAGGCUCACCAAGGCGACGAUCCAUAGCUGGUCUGAGAGGAUGAUCAGCCACACUGGGACUGAGACACGGCCCAGACUCCUACGGGAGGCAGCAGUGGGGAAUAUUGGACAAUGGGCGAAGCCUGAUCCAGCAAUGCCGCGUGAGUGAUGAAGGCCCCUAGGGUUGUAAAGCUCUUUUACCAGGGAUGAUAAUGACAGUACCUAGAGAAUAAGCUCCGGCUAGCUCCGUGCCAGCAGCCGCGGUAAUACGGAGGGAGCUAGCGUUGUUCGGGUAUUACUGGGCGUAAGCGCA
rnacentral:rRNA from 1 species